rnacentral:rRNA from 1 species
UCCUAGCCGUAAACGAUGGAUACUAGGUGUUAGAAGUAUCGACCCUUCUAGUGCCGUAGCUAACGCAUUAAGUAUCCCGCCUGGGGAGUACGGCCGCAAGGCUGAAACUCAAAGGAAUUGACGGGGGCCCGCACAAGCGGUGGAGCAUGUGGUUCAAUACGUCACUAACCGUAGAACCUUACCCAGGCUUGACAUCUGCUGAAA